rnacentral:rRNA from 1 species
GACGAACGCUGGCGGCGUGCUUAACACAUGCAAGUCGAACGGAAAGGCCCUGCUUUUGUGGGGUGCUCGAGUGGCGAACGGGUGAGUAACACGUGAGUAACCUGCCCUUGACUUUGGGAUAACUUCAGGAAACUGGGGCUAAUACCGGAUAGGAGCUCCUGCUGCAUGGUGGGGGUUGGAAAGUUUCGGCGGUUGGGGAUGGACUCGCGGCUUAUCAGCUUGUUGGUGGGGUAGUGGCUUACCAAGGCUUUGACGGGUAGCCGGCCUGAGAGGGUGACCGGCCACAUUGGGACUGAGAUACGGCCCACACUCCUACGCGAGGCAGCAGUGGGGAAUAUUGCCCAAUGAGCGGAAGCCCGAUGCAGCAACGCCGCGUGCGGGAUGACGGCAUUCGGGUUGUACACCGCUUUCGCCUGUGACGAAGCGUGAGUGACGGUAAUGGGUAAAGAAGCACCGGCUAACUACGUG